GAUGAACGCUAGCGGCAGGCUUAACACAUGCAAGUCGAGGGGCAUCGAGAUGUAGCAAUACAUUGUCGGCGACCGGCGGACGGGUGCGUAACGCGUGAGCAACCUUCCCGUAUCAGGGGGAUAACCGAUGGAAACGUCGCCUAAUACCCCAUAACAACACAUGUCUCCUGACGUGUGCUUGAAAGAUUCGUCAGAUACGGCUGGGCUCGCGUGACAUUAGCUGGUUGGUGAGGUAACGGCUCACCAAGGCAACGAUGUCUAGGGGUUCUGAGAGGAAGAUCCCCCACACUGGAACUGAGACACGGUCCAGACUCCUACGGGAGGCAGCAGUGAGGAAUAUUGGUCAAUGGGCGCAAGCCUGAACCAGCCAUGCCGCGUGAAGGAAUAAGGUCCUAUGGAUCGUAAACUUCUUUUGAGCGGGAGCAAUAAGGUCUACGUGUAGA
rnacentral:rRNA from 1 species